rnacentral:lncRNA from 1 species
UUUCGGCUUGAAAACGCAUGUGACACGCGUUGAGCAUCAAGAAAUGCACACGGGGAAGCUGCUAAACGAGUUCAAAAAUGCUGAAUCUUGCAGCAAAAACGAAGAUUCUGUACUGCUUAUGUCUCGUCGAAGUCAAGAAACCUCCGAUCUCCAUUCACACCACGUUAUAAAGGACAUGGCAGGCAUUGCAUGCCCGCACUCGUCAUGCUCGUGGGAAGAAAUCUGACACCAUUCGGCGGCAUCACGCGGUCGUCGCCGGCCAGCCGUGCCGGGAGUUCGAGCUCGAAACCCCACCACACACAUCGCUUGUGACAGGCACCGCUUUGGAGUCGAGUUUUGGGUGUAAUAUGCGGCUGUAAAUGGAGAUGUUUUGAUUGUCGUUCCUUCUGAUGACGAUCUGACGAUGCAGACCUUGGAAUCUACAUUACGAGACAUGAUGAAGAACUCUGUGAAGAAUAAAACUAUGGCCAGACUUGAACUAAAUUAAAAAAAUCCUUUUAUUUAAUAUACUUUAAAGAUUUUUAAUUAUUUUAAUAAUGGAGACUAGACAUGCAUUAAACAGAAAUGUAACCAUUAACAAAUGUACUCAGAAGUAGUCAGAAGAAAUCAAAAGUAAGUUUACCGACUUAGUCUUAGAAUAGAAUUACAUGGCUUCUGCUGACAACCAAGUACAUGUAUCAUCAAGCCAAUGCGAAACUAGAGACUUUAAUUGUUUAUUUAGACAAAAUAUCUCCUGAUUAAAUUGAUAUUGCAGUAUACAUGUAGUGAACAAAAAUUGCAGUAUGGUUAUAAGACAAAAAUGCUUGGGUCUAGUAACAUCGGCUGUUAUAUUGGAUUCGAAAUUAGGAUUGCAGCAAGGAUUUAAUUUUUCAUUCUAGUGAUGUUCGAAUAAAAGUGUUUUUUUUUACAAAUUAUUUUGUUGAAAGAACAAAAAGCAAAACACUAAAACUGGUCGGUGUUUAAAACUGAAAUUGAAACUAGGGCUUUCAAAAAGAAAGGGAUGGAAAGAGAAAAUUCAAUGAAAUAAUUAUAAUAAUUUAAAUGAGGAAUAGGUCUACUGAAUACUAUUGCUACUUUUCAUAAAUAAUGGAUUAUCUUGUAAUUUAACAGUCUACCAGGUGCAACAAUAAAAAAUUUCACGGAACUGCUUAAACACUCGUGAAUCUGCCUAUGCUUUAGCACGCAGGUAAGUUCCCUAUACAAUUACACGCAAGCUUCUCAUGAAAAGCGUGAAAUACGCGAACGAGAUCAACUUCUGGUUGAGUGCAAAAAAUAUUAGCUCAGUUCUCAUAAAAUGGAAAAAUUACAAUAAUUAAUGGACUACUAGGUCAGCCAAGGCAAAUUUGCUGGAAAAAAAUUUUUUUGGAAUGAUAAAGCAGAACUUUGAGGUUCGUUUUUACGCGUGGAAAGUUCGUGCGCGUUUUUGCGUAGUGACGUCACAAACGCGUGCGUACAGCGUUCUCCCGCGGGAUUUCGGGUGGCCAUUAUCAUAAUUUAUGUGCGCACGCUCAGACCAAGUUGACACUGGUGUCAUAUUUCACUGACGUACGUGAGUGCAGCAGCAAUAUGCAGCAUGCUUUCCCCCCAGCGGACCACACCAUUUGUGGUAAUAAAGGGGUGUUCUUUCUUGGGAACAAUAAUUACCAAUAUUUCCGCUGUUUAAAAAAAAA